AUUUCUUGUGAACGUGUUAAUCUAGCUCGGGUAUUUACAACUUUUACCCGCUUGAGUGUUUCAAAAGGACAUACAUAGGAUUUAUACAAACUGGAAUGGAUAAAGCAGCCAAAAAUUAAGUUUCUGGAGUGUGUCAGAACUCAGCAGGAAGCGACGUGCAGUUUUUUGCUGGCGCUGUACCAUCUGCUCUCUCCACAGGUGACUGCAGUUGACUGGUGGGCGGGGCGCACAGACAUACGACUCGUUCUGCGAGUCAGUGCGGGAGCAUAAGAACAGCGCUCAGACGGCUGGAGGAUCCCAGAGUGUUCACCUCAGUGGUUUUCUCGUGCUUCGAAUCCCGCUCCAAGGGUUCCUACGUGCUCUGGCGUUCUCAAGACGAGCCUACAGGCUCAUCCUGUCCUGGAUUUCUCUCUGGGUUUAUCCCCGUGUCCCUUGGUCGUACCAAGCUGGGCUUUAUUCACCUGGUUCCUCCAGCUGUCCCAAGGCAGCGCUGAGUUCUCUCCUCCGCUCCACUCCCCCCGGUCCGGUUUCCGUGCUCUGUGACUGAACGUAUCCUGGCCCCGUCCCUCUUUGGGCUCAGAUCCGUUGUGACUCUGCCUUUUGUCUUGC